AGAGAGUUAGUUUAAAGAAAACAUUUGAUUUCGGCUCAAAAACUUAUGGUUCAACUCCAUAACUAUCUA
rnacentral:tRNA from 1 species